GAAAUGCGAUAAGUAAUGUGAAUUGCAGAAUUCAGUGAAUCAUCGAAUCUUUGAACGCACAUUGCGCCCGCCAGUAUUCUGGCGGGCAUGCCUGUUCGAGCGUCAUUUCAACCCUCAAGCCCCCGGGCUUGGUGUUGGGGAUCAGCGAAGCCUUCCGGCACGCGCCGUCCCCUAAAUCUAGUGGCGGUCUCGCUGCAGCCUCCAUUGCGUAGUAGCUAACACCUCGCAACUGGAACGCGGCGCGGCCAAGCCGUUAAACCCCCAACUUUUUCUGAAUGUUGACCUCGGAUCAGGUAGGAAUACCCGCUGAACUUAAGC
rnacentral:misc_RNA from 1 species